rnacentral:rRNA from 1 species
GGCGCGCGAAUAUUGGCACAAUGGGGGAAACCCUGAUGCAGCAACGCCGCGUGAGUGAUGACGGUCUUCGGAUUGUAAAGCUCUGUCUUUAGGGACGAUAAUGACGGUACCUAAGGAGGAAGCCCCGGCUAACUACGUGCCAGCAGCCGCGGUAAUUAAA